UUGCUAUUGUGGAUAAAUAUCAGAGUUUCUGGUUUUUUCAUUACAAGGUGAAAUUACAAGAUGAGGACACAGUCCACCCUGAACAAUCAUAAACGAUAAACUGAAAAAUCAAACAGGCAUUUCCAAACAUUUCUGAACAGGACCUUCCUUGAUAUACACAUGACUGACUCUUAAAUACAUAUAAAAUGAAGAAAGUGGGACUGUCAUGCUGUCAUGUGGAAAAUUCUACUGGCAAAAAAUUGAGUGGUAAAAACUGUGUUUCGAUGGUGAAAAUAGCUUUCAAGUCCAUGAAUGAGGACACAUGUGUACUUUUAUGUAUACCUUUCCAUUUAUCAGAAAUAUAAGAGGGACAGAGAACUUGAGAGAGAAAAUCUUCAGGUGAAGCAAGCAAGCUGAAACUGAGGAAAUUCUUCCUGAAAGAAUGAUUUAUUUCUUCCAAAGAAAUUUGGUUUAUCAAAAUCAAUCAACAAAUGAGUGAACCCAUGGUGUGGUUAUUUACAGCAAAAUUUAAAACCCAACAGAUUUCUCUUUCCCAUCUAGCAUGCUUCUGUCUAACCUCUCAUCAUUAGUUGGAAGGGAGACUUACCUAAUGGGUGAACUUGGGAGAAGGAGCUAAGCAGUGCUUAUGUGUUUCUGAGUCUCCUCUUUGAAAAGAUGUGCCUGCCCACAGUAACAUGAAUUUGGGUCUGCUCUCAGCUCUGUGAAAGAGAAGAGCAGUGUUGUCGCCUACCCAGUGUCACCUGUCACAGCUCCACCAAGAAAAAUGACUAGACAACACUUACAGAAACAUUCUCUUCUUCCUUGACUUCAUAACUAAUGUACAUUGUUCAAAAGCAACGCCCACUCAAAAGAGAGAAAAAGUUGAAAGAAACCAUUUUAGAAACAAACAUAGAAAGUCAGACAAACUGAGGACACAGAGGAAUACCUUCCAAAUGAAAGAACAUGACAAAACCUAAGAAAAAAAAAAACUAACAAAACUAAGAAAAAAAACUAAGAAAAAAAAAACAGAGAGAAGUGAUGAGUUCAAGGUAAAGGUCAUAAAGAUGCUCAGUGAACUUGGGAGGAGAAUGAAUGGAUCCAGUGAUAACAUCUACAAAGAGAUAGAAAAUAUAAAAAAGAACCAAUCAGAGCUGAAGGAUACAAUAACAGAAAUGACAAAUACACUAGGGGGAAUCAACAGCAGAUAAGAAGAUGCAGAAGAACAGAUCAACAAUUUGCAAGACAGGGUAGUAGAAAUCAUCCAAGCUGAAAAACAAAAAGAAAAAAGAACUUUAAAAAUGAGACUAGGUUAAGGGACCUGUGGGACAACAUCCAGUGUAAUAAUACUUGCAUUCAAGGGGUUCCAGAAAAAGAAAAAGAGAAAUGGGCAAAGAACUCAUUUGAAGAAAUAAAAGCUUCAUUUUAAAAAUUCAAAUAUUUGCUUGAUUUAGCUAUUUAUAAAAUGCUCUACAAUCCCUCAGCAAGAUAUUUUAUAAAAAUUGAAACAGAGGUGCUAUUAGUCAAAAAAAAAAAAAAAAAGGAAAAAGAAAAAAGAGUGCCAUAAGUAAGA